UGAUCUUCGAGAAGCCUUACAUAACGCAAUUUCCGAUGUAAUUCGGACGGUAUUUCAGUUCGAGAAAUGCUUUAAAUGAUUACAUUAAGAAGAUUAGAAAACUAUCGAAAGAUGAGUGGUAGAGUGAUGGCAGCAAUACACUAUAGUGACUAUACUAUCUUACCGCCCCGAUCGAUCGAUGCCUUCUCGGAUAGAAAGCGACGCCAGACGACUGACCGACUAUCUACAAAUUGGACGUAUGCAGUGACAUUUCUACAUUUCCGUGGUUUAGACGAGCUGUAGAUAGUGCUUCCAAGAAGCGUAUUCCAGGGACCCUCUCGGGAUAGAAUGAGAAAGACCCUGUUUACAGUUAACAGUAAAUCGGUCUUUUUAGGUGCAGGUUGGUUCCAAGACGUUUCCUUUCAGAACAUUUUUAUUUAUAUUAUUAUCAUUAUUAUUAUUAUUAUUAUUCUCGAGAAAAUAUCACACGGAAAAUGGUUUUGUCGAG
rnacentral:lncRNA from 1 species